rnacentral:pre_miRNA from 1 species
GGGGAGUACAGGAUCAUGGACUGUGUUCCCGGUGCCCUGGGCUCCAAGGCCUGCGCUGCUGGAAUCCCGCUCCUGGCCCACGGAGCCUGCU